AAGUAGACAGCUCCCUGUUUCUUAUUUACUGCGUGCAAUUUAUUGGUGUUGCAAAAUUGUUAUCUUUACAUUGACAUAAUGUGGAUUGUUUAACCAUAAUAUUUUCCCUGCCCCGUAAUAUGGUUUAGAUUGGUUGUCCAAACACUACCAUUCCGUUGCUUUAUUAAUAUUGCGACCAUAAGUAGUUACAAAGUUUGUAUGAAUUUCAAGAAAAUAACACUCUUUGGAGGAUCUUUAUAUCAUACUGAACUGCAUGAUAAAAGAUCACAGAGUUAAAAUGUCAUUUCAGAAUACUGCAUUUGUAGAACACAUAACUGUGUAGUAAUAAUAUGAUUUCAUAUAUCCUUCAUUUUGUCCUGCAGCUGAUUGCCUGAUGUUUCGCAGGGAAUUUGAAUAUGAGAAAACAAUGCGUUUGUGGGAGGUAUUAUGGACACAUUAUCUGAGUGAGCAUCUGCACCUUUACGUAUGUGUUGCUAUCUUAAAGAGAUACCGCAGCAAGAUAAUGGGGGAGCAGAUGGAUUUUGACACUCUCUUAAAAUUUAUCAACGAACUGAGUGGUCACAUCGACCUUGACGCAAUCCUCAGAGAUGCAGAAGCACUGUGUAUAUGUGCUGGUGAAAACGGGGCUGCCUGUAUACCUCCUGGAACUCCACCUUCAUUGCCUCUCGAGGAUCCCAUGGCAUAUCCUCAACUGGAUGAUGAUGUAUUGUAGAUGGCACAUGUAUAAAGAGACAUGCAAUAACGUAUAAUUAGUUUUCAGUGAUUUUUUGAUGUUUAAUAAGUACGCAUUGAUUUGAAUAGAUUGUGUGCUAUACAAGGAAUCUUCUACCUUAUCUUCAAUCUUGGGAGACACUUCCAAGUUCCAUGAUAUGUGGUCAAAGGAAUGUCUUUUCUGUAUGCUUUUGGUUUAGUGUUCUUACCGAUGGCUUUCCAUUUGAAUGUCUGCACUUGCACUGCAUACCAGGAAAUGUUCUGAUAUACUUUCAUAUUUUGAGCUAUUAACAUUCUUCUGAUUAUGCAUUUGCGAUGCAAAUGGACCAAGAGACCGGUGUUUCUCUUUGGUUGAAUAGUUAAUGCAUUUGAAGUCUUAUGCUUCUACUAAAGUGUUAACACUGGUCCAGGCAUUUAAUCCUUUAUUUUAGAAAUUGGAAAUAUCUAGUGCAGCUAGUCAAUGAAUAUCCAGAGAUACAACAUUCUUUUUCUUUUAACUGUCGCAUAGGUGCUGAGUUGCACAGGAACGUCAUAAAUGAGGUGUAUAUGCAUUGUUCCUUCCCUGUAGUCUUUUUCUUUUUUUGCUCCAAAUGACAUCCCGGUGACUUUUUCCAGCUUCUUUACGUUGGUGAAUUCUGGCAAUGAAAUAAAUUAUGUUCAGUUUAAUAGAAACCUAACAUUUAUUUGACUUUUAUCAUGCAGCUAGUGGAGUUGUUAGACACUCCAUUGCAUAACUAUUUUAUGCAGAAUGAUUGCUUGAAUUAUUUCUUCUGUUUCCGCUGGAUUCUUAUACAGUUUAAAAGGCAAGUAGACAGCUCCCUGUUUCUUAUUUACUGCGUGCAAUUUAUUGGUGUUGCAAAAUUGUUAUCUUUACAUUGACAUAAUGUGGAUUGUUUAACCAUAAUAUUUUCCCUGCCCCGUAAUAUGGUUUAGAUUGGUUGUCCAAACACUACCAUUCCGUUGCUUUAUUAAUAUUGCGACCAUAAGUAGUUACAAAGUUUGUAUGAAUUUCAAGAAAAUAACACUCUUUGGAGGAUCUUUAUAUCAUACUGAACUGCAUGAUAAAAGAUCACAGAGUUAAAAUGUCAUUUCAGAAUACUGCAUUUGUAGAACACAUAACUGUGUAGUAAUAAUAUGAUUUCAUAUAUCCUUCAUUUUGUCCUGCAGCUGAUUGCCUGAUGUUUCGCAGGGAAUUUGAAUAUGAGAAAACAAUGCGUUUGUGGGAGGUAUUAUGGACACAUUAUCUGAGUGAGCAUCUGCACCUUUACGUAUGUGUUGCUAUCUUAAAGAGAUACCGCAGCAAGAUAAUGGGGGAGCAGAUGGAUUUUGACACUCUCUUAAAAUUUAUCAACGAACUGAGUGGUCACAUCGACCUUGACGCAAUCCUCAGAGAUGCAGAAGCACUGUGUAUAUGUGCUGGUGAAAACGGGGCUGCCUGUAUACCUCCUGGAACUCCACCUUCAUUGCCUCUCGAGGAUCCCAUGGCAUAUCCUCAACUGGAUGAUGAUGUAUUGUAGAUGGCACAUGUAUAAAGAGACAUGCAAUAACGUAUAAUUAGUUUUCAGUGAUUUUUUGAUGUUUAAUAAGUACGCAUUGAUUUGAAUAGAUUGUGUGCUAUACAAGGAAUCUUCUACCUUAUCUUCAAUCUCGGGAGACACUUCCAAGUUCCAUGAUAUGUGGUCAAAGGAAUGUCUUUUCUGUAUGCUUUUGUUUAGUGUUC
rnacentral:lncRNA from 1 species